rnacentral:rRNA from 1 species
GAUGAACGCUAGCGGCAGGCCUAACACAUGCAAGUCGAGGGGUAGAGGAAGCUUGCUUCCUUGAGACCGGCGCACGGGUGCGUAACGCGUAUGCAAUCUACCUUUUACAGAGGGAUAGCCCAGAGAAAUUUGGAUUAAUACCUCAUAGUAUCUUUGCCUGGCAUCGGGUGAUUAUUAAAGUUCCAACGGUAAAAGAUGAGCAUGCGUCCUAUUAGCUAGAUGGUAAGGUAACGGCUUACCAUGGCAACGAUAGGUAGGGGUCCUGAGAGGGAGAGCCCCCACACUGGUACUGAGACACGGACCAGACGCCUACGGGAGGCAGCAGUGAGGAAGAUUGGACAAUGGGCGCAAGCCUGAUCCAGCCAUGCCGCGUGCAGGAAGACGGUCCUAUGGAUUGUAAACUGCUUUUGUACGGGAAGAAACACUCCUACGUGUAGGAGCUUGACGGUACCGUAAGAAUAAGGAUCGGCUAACUCCGUGCCAGCAGCCGCAGUAACAC